CUACCUGCAGUCGAGCGGUAGCACAGAGAGCUUGCUCUCGGGUGACGAGCGGCGGACGGGUGAGUAAUGUCUGGGAAACUGCCUGAUGGAGGGGGAUAACUACUGGAAACGGUAGCUAAUACCGCAUAAUGUCGCAAGACCAAAGUGGGGGACCUUCGGGCCUCAUGCCAUCAGAUGUGCCCAGAUGGGAUUAGCUAGUAGGUGGGGUAACGGCUCACCUAGGCGACGAUCCCUAGCUGGUCUGAGAGGAUGACCAGCCACACUGGAACUGAGACACGGUCCAGACUCCUACGGGAGGCAGCAGUGGGGAAUAUUGCACAAUGGGCGCAAGCCUGAUGCAGCCAUGCCGCGUGUGUGAAGAAGGCCUUCGGGUUGUAAAGCACUUUCAGCGGGGAGGAAGGCGUUAAGGUUAAUAACCUUGUCGAUUGACGUUACCCGCAGAAGAAGCACCGGCUAACUCCGUGCCAGCAGCCGCGGUAAUACGGAGGGUGCAAGCGUUAAUCGGAAUUACUGGGCGUAAAGCGCACGCAGGCGGUCUGUCAAGUCGGAUGUGAAAUCCCCGGGCUCAACCUGGGAACUGCAUUCGAAACUGGCAGGCUAGAGUCUUGUAGAGGGGGGUAGAAUUCCAGGUGUAGCGGUGAAAUGCGUAGAGAUCUGGAGGAAUACCGGUGGCGAAGGCGGCCCCCUGGACAAAGACUGACGCUCAGGUGCGAAAGCGUGGGGAGCAAACAGGAUUAGAUACCCUGGUAGUCCACGCCGUAAACGAUGUCGAUUUGGAGGUUGUGCCCUUGAGGCGUGGCUUCCGGAGCUAACGCGUUAAAUCGACCGCCUGGGGAGUACGGCCGCAAGGUUAAAACUCAAAUGAAUUGACGGGGGCCCGCACAAGCGGUGGAGCAUGUGGUUUAAUUCGAUGCAACGCGAAGAACCUUACCUGGUCUUGACAUCCACAGAACUUUCCAGAGAUGGAUUGGUGCCUUCGGGAACUGUGAGACAGGUGCUGCAUGGCUGUCGUCAGCUCGUGUUGUGAAAUGUUGGGUUAAGUCCCGCAACGAGCGCAACCCUUAUCCUUUGUUGCCAGCGGUUAGGCCGGGAACUCAAAGGAGACUGCCAGUGAUAAACUGGAGGAAGGUGGGGAUGACGUCAAGUCAUCAUGGCCCUUACGACCAGGGCUACACACGUGCUACAAUGGCAUAUACAAAGAGAAGCGACCUCGCGAGAGCAAGCGGACCUCAUAAAGUAUGUCGUAGUCCGGAUUGGAGUCUGCAACUCGACUCCAUGAAGUCGGAAUCGCUAGUAAUCGUAGAUCAGAAUGCUACGGUGAAUACGUUCCCGGGCCUUGUACACACCGCCCGUCACACCAUGGGAGUGGGUUGCAAAAGAAGUAGGUAGCUUAACCUUCGGGAGGGCGCUACCA
rnacentral:rRNA from 1 species